UGGCAGGUAGCUCAGUGGUAGAGCGCCGAAAAACAUCCUUGUUCACCCCUUGCCUGAAAAGGCCGACGAAUUAGGGUUAUCGCAUUUUAAGCCGGAUGUCGCAAGUACCCUACGGGAAGCAAGCUACAAAUCUUGCCCUGCCAC
rnacentral:tRNA from 1 species